GCAGUCUCCUCUGUGUACCUCCUGGCGUGGUAGCAAGGGGAGAUGGCGGACUGAGAUUGAUGCCUACGACGUGCCGGAUUCUUAGCAUUACUACUUACGGCAACUACUGGGGCUGGUGAAGACUUGUUCACAGAUCAGCAUCAGUCUGAAGAAUAUAGAAACCAUUGCUCUGGCCAGUGCUUCUCAACCACACAGAUAAUAUAAUAAUAUUUGUAAGCACUCUCGAGUAGAAGAGUGAGGAUGCUCAUCACCAAAGACAGCAGGCUUAAGAGUCUGACCACCCCAAGACUCUGCCUCGCCAUCCCAAAGAGAAGACCUUUAAUAUUUCCACACAUCUGGAAUCCAUACCUGUUGCAAAUCUCUGUAUUAGAAACCCAACCCAGUCCAUGAUACAUGGAUUCUUGUUAGUGUUCAUCUCAGAAGUAUGCCUUUUCCUUACAUUGAGUUAGGACUACAUCUUCCUCUGGGGACUUUUGUCCUCUAACUGCAGUAAUACUGAAACAACUUAAGAGGACAAAGACCAAAUCGUUUUCAAGCCCCAUGAAGCAUUUCAAAAGUUCUACUCACAACAGGCCCCGGUGUGUGAUGUUCCCCUUCCUGUGUCCAUGUGUUCUCAUUGUUCAAUUCCCACCCAUGAGUGAGAACAUGCGGUGUUUGGUUUUUUGUCCUUGCAAUAGUUUGCUGAGAAUGAUAGUUUCCAGCUUCAUCCAUGUCCCUACAAAGGACAUGAACUCAUCAUUUUUUAUGGCUGCAUAGUAUUCCAUGGUGUCUAUGUGCCACAGAGUGGGGAGGGAUAGCAUUAGGAGAUGUACCUAAUGCUAAAUGACGAGUUAAUGGGUGCAGCACACCAACAUGGCACAUGUAUACAUAUGUAACAAACCUGCACAUUGUGCACAUGUACCCUAAAACUUAAAGUAUAAUAAUAAUAAUAAUAAAACAAAGAAAGAAAAAAA
rnacentral:lncRNA from 1 species